rnacentral:rRNA from 1 species
GACAGAGGUCCCGAGCGUUAGGCGGAAUCACUGGGCUUAAAGCGUGUGUAGGCGGAGUGCUAAGUACCUUGUGAAAUCCCACGGCUUAACCGUGGAACUGCUGGGUAUACUGGUUCUCUUGGGCCACUUAGGGGUUACCGGAACAAACGGUGGAGCGGUGAAAUGCGUAGAGAUCAGGAAGAACACCGGUGGCGAAGGCGCUCUGCUAGGCCGCAACUGACACUGAGGGACGAAAGCUAGGGGAGCGAAUGGG